GAGGUCACACCCGUUCCCAUACCGAACACGGAAGUUAAGCUCUUCAGCGCCGAUGGUAGUUGGGGGAUCUCCCCCUGUGAGAGUAGGACGUUGCCAGGC
rnacentral:rRNA from 1 species